rnacentral:rRNA from 1 species
UGCCCUACGGGAGGCAGCAGUGAGGAAUAUUGGUCAAUGGGCUUACGCCUGGACCAGCCAAGUCGCGUGAGGGAAGACUGCCCUAUGGGUUGUAAACCUCUUUUGUCAGGGAGCAACGCCGGCUACGUGUAGCCGGACUGAGAGUACCUGAAGAAAAAGCAUCGGCUAACUCCGUGCCAGCAGCCGCGGUAAUACGUAGGGAGCGAGCGUUGUCCGGAAUUACUGGGUGUAAAGGGAGCGUAGGCGGGACUGCAAGUUGGGUGUCAAAUCUACCGGCUCAACCGGUAGCCGCACUCAAAACUGCG